CUUCGAGAUAUCGAAAGGCAGACGCGGCGCGCCGAGCCGCGCUGCACUGCACUGCAACUCAAGCCGCUCCGCUCAGCUUCGCUUGCUUCGCGGCCAUGUCCGUGUCCGCGCAGGACGAGCCAAAGGUGCGAGAGAGACAGAGCGGCGAGUGACGCUGAGUCCGCCGCUCAAGGCAGGGGGAGCAAGAUGAGACGACAGAUCAGCAUCUCCGCGUGACGAGGGCGCGAGCUGCACGCAGACGAAGAAGAGCAUCUCAGCGGCCAGAGCAAAAGUGCGUGAUGCAGGAUUGCAACUUUCGCACGGACCCGACAUGCAGAGGCGUGGAUCCAGUUGGGG